CAGGCACAGAUUUGGCCCCAGGGGUUAUUACAAAGGUGAAAGAGACACCAUUUUUACCACCCCUCAGGUUUCCCUUUAAAGGGAAUUACAGGCAAGCACAGACCAGAGCUGGGAGACGGAGAGGAGUAACACGUGGAGGUGCUGUGCCACCAGAGAGGCUUGAGAAAUCUCACGGAGGUGGUGUCCUCAGACAGAACCAUGUAAAGAGACCCAUGCUGAAGACGCAGAGAAAGGACUCCAGGACACAGACCAGCCAUCAGAAGCAGGAGUGGCCUAGAUGGCGGACAGCGAAGGAUCCUCUCUGUGCCCGUAUGUUGAUAUCCUCGAUCAAACUCUCCACCUGUCCCAUGCCAACCUCCACUUUGGUGUGAUCAGUUUUUUUAGCUUCCACAAGAGUUAAAUAUAUGAUGC
rnacentral:lncRNA from 1 species